AGAGUUUGAUCAUGGCUCAGGACGAACGCUGGCGGCGUGCUUAACACAUGCAAGUCGAGCGGAAAUAUAUUGAAGAUUCGUCGGAUAUAUAUUUUAGCGGCGGACGGGUGAGUAACGCGUGGGCAAUCUGCCUCACACAGGGGAAUAACACUGGGAAACUAGUGCUAAUACCGCAUAAUAUAACGAAGCGGCAUCGCUUUGUUAUCAAAGGAGCAAUCCGGUGUGAGAUGAGCCCGCGUCCGAUUAGCUAGUUGGUGGGGUAACGGCCCACCAAGGCGACGAUCGGUAGCCGAACUGAGAGGUUGAUCGGCCACAUUGGGACUGAGACACGGCCCAGACUCCUACGGGAGGCGGCAGUGGGGAAUAUUGCGCAAUGGGGGAAACCCUGACGCAGCAACGCCGCGUGAAGGAUGAAGGUUUUCGGAUUGUAAACUUCUUUGAUUGGGGACGGUAAUGACGGUACCCAAAAAACAAGCCACGGCUAACUACGUGCCAGCAGCCGCGGUAAUACGUAGGUGGCAAGCGUUGUCCGGAAUUACUGGGUGUAAAGGGCGUGUAGGCGGGGAUGCAAGUCAGAUGUGAAAUUCUGGGGCUCAACCCCAGCGCUGCAUCUGAAACUGUAUCUCUUGAGUGCUGGAGAGGAAAGCGGAAUUCCUAGUGUAGCGGUGAAAUGCGUAGAUAUUAGGAGGAACACCUGUGGCGAAGGCGGCUUUCUGGACAGUAACUGACGCUGAGGCGCGAAAGCGUGGGGAGCGAACAGGAUUAGAUACCCUGGUAGUCCACGCCGUAAACGAUGGAUACUAGGUGUAGGAGGUAUCGACCCCUUCUGUGCCGGAGUUAACACAAUAAGUAUCCCACCUGGGGAGUACGGCCGCAAGGUUGAAACUCAAAUGAAUUGACGG
rnacentral:rRNA from 1 species